rnacentral:rRNA from 1 species
UUACUCGUGCGCGAGUCGCAGGGUCUUGCACAGGCCCCGUGGCGGAGCGAAAGCGAAUUUUUGAAAAGCCGAGAUUUCCGAGCAUUUGAAAAAGUCGAAGGAAAGCAUCGGCGGCCCGGCGGUGAAAAUCGUAACGCUUAAGGUGUUUCGAUUUCGUCGGAGUUUGAGCGUACGAGUAGGUACCCGAAAGAUGGUGAACUAUGCCCGGCCAGGGCGAAGCCGGAGGAAACUCCGGUGGAGGCUCGAAGCGGUUCUGACGUGCAAAUCGAUCGUCGGAGCGAGGUAUAGGGGCGGAAGACCAAUCGAACCAUCUAGUAGCUGGUUCCCUCCGAAGUUUCCCUCAGGAUAGCUGGCAUUCUUGAAAACUCAGUCUCUCCCCGUAGAGAGAAUGAAUAGAGGCCCUGGGGCCCUAGACGACCUCAACCUAUUAUCAAACUACUACGAGGUGCGUCGGUCGUUCCUGCCGAUUUCUAUCGAGCAGAGGAACGGCGAAGGAGAUGAAGGAGUGCCGUGUGGGCCAUUUUUG